rnacentral:rRNA from 1 species
UACGAAGGGGGCUAGCGUUGUUCGGAAUUACUGGGCGUAAAGCGCACGCAGGCGGAUUGAUUAGUCAGGGGUGAAAUCCCGGGGCUCAACCUCGGAAUUGCCUUUGAUACUGUCAGUCUUGAGUCCGGGAGAGGUGAGUGGAAUUCCUAGUGUAGAGGUGAAAUUCGUAGAUAUUAGGGAGAACACCAGUGGCGAAGGCGGCUCACUGGCCCGGUACUGACGCUCAUGUGCGAAAGCGUGGGGAGCAAACAGG